rnacentral:lncRNA from 1 species
CACCACCACGAGUUGAAAAUCAUCAGCAUCUCCCGAUUCACCAAUUCUAGAAACCAAAAUGGAAAUUAGCGGUCUGUUUCUCCCAAAUCCUCUCUUUCUCUCCCUGGCUCUCAUUCUCUGCGAUGUGUAGGUGAAAAGAUAAGAAGGCAGGGUGGGGAAUGAACACAUAUAAAAUGAAAGACACAAUCGAAGAAAGAGGAUUGAAGAAAGAAGGCCAAACCAAAAUCCAUAUCAUUGAAAGGCCAAACCAAAAUCCAUAAUAUGAUUAGGGCUCAAGA